rnacentral:misc_RNA from 1 species
GUCGAGUGAAACGAGGCUGCGAUCUUUUGAUCUUGCCUUUCAAGAUCAAGAUCAAAAAAUCGCAGCCUCGUUUCACUCGAC